CCUACGGGAGGCAGCAGGUGGGGUAAUUUUGGACAAUGGGCGCAAGCCUGAUCCAGCAAUGCCGCGUGAGUGAAGAAGGCCUUCGGGUUGUAAAGCUCUUUUGUCAGGGAAGAAAAGGCUACGGAUAAUACCUGUGGCUCAUGACGGUACCUGAAGAAUAAGCACCGGCUAACUACGUGCCAGCAGCCGCGGUAAUACGUAGGGUGCAAGCGUUAAUCGGAAUUACUGGGCGUAAAGCGUGCGCAGGCGGUUUUGUAAGACUGUCGUGAAAUCCCCGGGCUCAACCUGGGAAUGGCGAUGGUGACUGCAAGGCUAGAGUUUGGCAGAGGGGGGUAGAAUUCCACGUGUAGCAGUGAAAUGCGUAGAUAUGUGGAGGAACACCGAUGGCGAAGGCAGCCCCCUGGGUCAAAACUGACGCUCAUGCACGAAAGCGUGGGGAGCAAACAGGAUUAGAUACCCUGGUAGUCCACGCCCUAAACGAUGUCUACUAGUUGUCGGGUCUUAAUUGACUUGGUAACGCAGCUAACGCGUGAAGUAGACCGCCUGGGGAGUACGGUCGCAAGAUUAAAACUUAAAUGAAUUGACGG
rnacentral:rRNA from 1 species